AACGAACGCUGGCGGCAUGCCUAACACAUGCAAGUCGAACGGUCUUUUCUAUGGAAGCUUGCUUCCGCUGAGAAGAUAGUGGCGGACGGGUGAGUAACACGUGGGUAACCUGCCCAUAAGAGGGGGAUAACAUCCGGAAACGGGUACUAAUACCGCAUAGUUUUUCUGAUCGCAUGAUCGGGAAAGGAAAGACGGCCUUUGUGCUGUCGCUUAUGGAUGGACCCGCGGCGUAUUAGUUAGUUGGUGAGGUAAUGGCUCACCAAGACGAUGAUACGUAGCCGACCUGAGAGGGUGAUCGGCCACAUUGGGACUGAGACACGGCCCAAACUCCUACGGGAGGCAGCAGUAGGGAAUCUUCCGCAAUGGACGAAAGUCUGACGGAGCAACGCCGCGUGAGUGAAGAAGGUUUUCGGAUCGUAAAACUCUGUUGUCAGAGAAGAACAAGUCGGAGAGUAACUGCUCCGGCCUUGACGGUAUCUGACCAGAAAGCCACGGCUAACUACGUG
rnacentral:rRNA from 1 species